rnacentral:lncRNA from 1 species
GAAUGUCACCCGCGGUCCGGAGCAGAUAGGAUGGGCUGGGAAGGUACCCGCGAACUGCCGCCGGAAUUCGCUGGCAGCUGUGCGAGGCUCAGAAAGGAAGGAGGAGACCUGAACAGUACAUCCGGAGAAUCCAGCAAAGCAUACUACGGCAUGAACGUGCAAGUGGACAGAAUUAAAACACAUGCCAGAAACACUAAUGGAUUCUAAACAAGAUGCAGUUUCAUUUCCUGAGCCUAUACGUGAUGUUUUUAACUGUUCUCCAGUUAAUAUGUCUCCAUUUCCAGAAAUCUAACAGGAGAAUCUCUGACUGCUUAACAGAUC